AGCGUAGGCGGAACUACAAGACAGGGGUCAAAUCUCCGGGCUCAACCUGGAACUUGCCUUUGUGACUGUGGUUCUUGAGUAUGGUAGAGGUUGGCGGAAUUUCCGGUGUAGCGGUGGAAUGCGUAGAGAUCGGAAAGAACACCAGAGGCGAAGGCGGCCAACUGGACCAAUACUGACGCUGAGGCUCGAAAGCGUGGGGGAGCAAACAGGAUUAGAUACCCUGGUAGUCCACGCUGUAAACGAUGAACACUAGAUGUCGGGAGGGGUUCCUUCCGGUGUCGUCGCUAACGCAGUAAGUGUUCCGCCUGGGGAGUACGCUCGCAAGGGUGAA
rnacentral:rRNA from 1 species